AUUCAGCUGAUAAGUCCCAAAUAGAACGAAACGCGUGUCCUAGAU
rnacentral:hammerhead_ribozyme from 1 species